rnacentral:lncRNA from 1 species
CACAAAGUUCCCAAAAGGGCUCUAUGCAAGGAGGCUACUGGGCCUGGGCUGUAGGAGCGCUAGCUGAAAGCUAAUCCACGCUAAAUUUUGCUGCAGUGCUGAAGAUUUUUGAAAAGCUUCACAGAUGGUUGAGUUGCAGCUUCAACACACAAGAUCUCUUAGUAGGCAAAAGAGUAUCCUCCUCUGUUUCUCAUCAGCCUUUUUAAAGCAGGAAGAAGAUCAAGAAAAGAACAGAAGGACCUGUUGAGAGUCAUCUUUCAGCUCCCAGAGACAAUUAUAACACUGAAUGUUAUAAAGCUAAGGCUGUCAACAUACAGAUGGCAAAAACUGUUGGUUCAGCAGGAAAAGAAUGGUUGUCUUUGCAUCCAGUUCUAUUUCUUCAAUUGAAAAAAAGUCUGUGGAAGAAGUAUAGGAAGAAAAAUGAAGCUUGUAAGAUGUAUCAAUAUGUUGUUUCAAAAAACCCAUUAAAGUCUGUAAAACGGUACCACCCAGGUCUGAUGAAGACUCAGCAGGACAGAGCUUCUGUUUCCUUGCUGUGAGUUGAUCACACAUCCACAUCACAUAGCACAAAUCAGUCAGACUAAUAUUGGAGAGCAGAGUGGCUCAAGAAUGGAUCCUGGAUUUUCAAAAGAUGCUUCAUCUCCUCAGACCUGACUUGGGACCCACCACAAAGUCUCCCUAGCACUUCAGAAAAUGCACCACCUGUAAUAAGAUGUGCAACAGCCAAACAUCUUUAUUGCUGUCUCUUGGUUACAAUUAGAAAGUCUUUGUUAGUUCUUAUCACUUAGUAAAACUUUUAAUAGGUACAAAAUUUAAUAUUUUGGUCAGAAAUGAAGAUGACUAAUUAUAUUUUGUUAUUUGCAUUUUCCCUGAGGUAUCACUAUUUCCUGCUUCCUUACCAAACCGUAAUAUAAAACUACUUCUACUAGUUAUGUAAUUUGUUAUUAAUUUAAAUAAUACACAAACUAUAUUUUGGUUUCUCUGGGGGAGAAAGCAUCAGCAUCCUCUCUGACAUAGUGGAAAAAACCAAAACUUCAAAAAUUUAAAUUUUAAAUGUGUUCACAGAAAAUCAGCAUUAGUGUACAAGUUAGGCUAGUUUUUACAAGUUUGGUGAAAAUGUUUCAGAUAUAAAGUUCUGUGAGGAGGUGGAAGGUGCUACCCUUAUGUCCAGUGGAGCAGCCAACUCCAAGACAGACCCACCACUGGCCAAGGCCAAGCCAAUCAGUGGUGGUAGCACUUCUGAGAUAAGGUGUUUAAGAAGGGGGAAACAUACAUCAAAAUGUUGAAGAGGGAAACACUGGGAUUGACCCCAAAUGCAAUUUUUUCUGCUUCCCGCUUGCCCCAGGAGCCCAAAAUCAAUCUUCCAAGCCAGGGCACUGCUGAGGAAUUGCAGCAUUGUGCAUCAUACUCCAGCCCUCCUCUGGUUUGUGCACACAGGUAAAAUUAAGUGA